rnacentral:rRNA from 1 species
AUGGCGCAGGAGAGCCUGAGGCUGGUGUGCCCGCCGGUGUCGGCGCACGAGGGGCGGCUGCCGCGGCAGUACACGCUGGAGGGGCAGGGCGCGAAGAAGGACAUCUCGCCGCCGCUGGAGUGGUACGGGGUGCCCGACGGCACGCGGUCGCUGGCGGUGGUGGUGCAGGACGUGGACGCGGACGAGCGGGUGCCCUGGACGCACUGGGUGGUCGUCAACAUCUCGCCCGAGGAGAAGGGCCUGCCCGAGGGCUUCUCCGGCGCCGGGGGCAACGCCAACGCCGGCGGGGGCGACGGCGGCGUCCAGGAGGGGGUCAACGACUGGAAGCAGCCCGGGUGGCGCGGCCCCGUCCCCGACUCCCACGGCCACCGCAUCCAGUUCCGUCUCUACGCGCUCGACGACCUGCUCAGCCUCGGCAACAAGGUGACAGUGGACAAGGUCAUGGAGGCCAUCGAGGGGCACGUGCUCGGGGAGGCCGAGAUCACGGCCGUCUUCUAA